rnacentral:rRNA from 1 species
UACGGAGGGUGCAAGCGUUAUCCGGAUUCACUGGGUUUAAAGGGUGCGUAGGCGGGUUGGUAAGUCAGUGGUGAAAUCUUCAAGCUUAACUUGGAAACUGCCAUUGAUACUAUCAAUCUUGAAUAUUGUGAGGUAAGCGGAAUAUGUCAUGUAGCGGUGAAAUGCUUAGAUAUGACAUAGAACACCGAUAGCGAAGGCAGCUUGCUACACAAUAAUUGACGCUGAGGCACGAAAGCGUGGGGAUCAAACAGG